GAUGAACGCUCGCUACAGGCUUAACACAUGCAAGUCGCGGGGCAGCAUGGGGGUUGCUUGCAAUCCCCGAUGGCGACCGGCGCACGGGUGAGUAACGCGUAUCCAACCUGCCCUUCACCACGGGAUAACCCGGCGAAAGUCGGACUAAUACCGUAUGUUGUCCAUUGACGGCAUCCGAUUUGGACGAAAGGUUUGGCGGUGAAGGAUGGGGAUGCGUCCGAUUAGCUGGACGGCGGGGUGACGGCCCACCGUGGCGACGAUCGGUAGGGGUUCUGAGAGGAAGGUCCCCCACACUGGAACUGAGACACGGUCCAGACUCCUACGGGAGGCAGCAGUGAGGAAUAUUGGUCAAUGGGCGUAAGCCUGAACCAGCCAAGUAGCGUGCAGGAUGACGGCCCUAUGGGUUGUAAACUGCUUUUAUGCGGGGAUAAAGUGGCCCACGCGUGGGUUUUUGCAGGUACCGCAUGAAUAAGGACCGGCUAAUUCCGUG
rnacentral:rRNA from 1 species